AAUCAAAUAAUAAAAGACUCAACAAAGACUCAAUAUGUGAACUAAUAUUUUUCAAUGAGAUGUAUAUUCUUGAGCUUGGUCUUCGUAUAUAUAAUGAUUAGGCACGCUCCUCUUUCUUCACAAAUGCUCAGACGCUCCUUGAGAAUCAUAAAGGAUGAUCUGAUACUUUUUCAAUCUUCAUUAAGGAUAUAUCAAGACUUUCCAAAAGUGUUUAAAGGGCUUUAUAUGAUAGGAUAAGUCAUCCAGCU
rnacentral:lncRNA from 1 species